CUAGAGUGGCUGUGUCAGACACAAGUCGAGUAAAAAGUCCAAAGAGCCAUCCACGAACGAAGUCUCACCGAUGAGUCCUGCACUGAGCCAAGCCCAGAAACUGUGUAAAAAGAAUUGAGUCUUGGUUAGUUGCUUUAUAGUUCUUUCAACUUUUGAAAUGGGCGGUUUGUAGCGUGAUUGCAAGAGGUCCGAAUAUCAAUUAAGAGAGGUUUCCGAAUGAGAGGGUUGAGCAGUGGAG
rnacentral:sRNA from 1 species